GCUUUACUGUAACCUGGAAUUGGGUUCGGGCCCUUUUUGCGCAGACUAAGUGGGAGGCGUAGAAAAUUUUCUUUCGGGAAAAUUGGAGCCAUUAUUGAGAGACCACUCUGGAAGAGCUAGAAUCCUAAUAGUGAUCCUUGUAUCAGGAUAAUUGACAGUUUCAGGUAGGCAGUUUCUCUGGGGCGGAGGCCUCCUAAAAGGUAACGGAGGCGCGCAAAGGUUCCCUCAGGCUGGACGGAAAUCAGCCGAAGGAUGUAAAGGUAUAAGGGAGCUUGACUGCAAGACCUACAAGUCGAGCAGGGGCGAAAGCCGGCUUUCGCCCCCG
rnacentral:rRNA from 1 species